rnacentral:rRNA from 1 species
CCGGAUUUAUUGGGCUUUAAAGGGUGCGUAGGCGGCAGUUUAAGUCAGCGGAUGAAAUUUUGCAGCUUAGCUGUAAAAGCGCCGUUGAUACUGUGAUGCUAGGAUUGAGUAGCUGUGAGCGGAAUGUCUGGGGUAGCGGUGAAAUGCUUCGAGAUCACACAGAAUAUGUAUUGUGAAAGCAGGUCACAAAGCCAAGAGUGACGCUGAGGCACGAAAGUGUGGGGAUCAAACAGGAUUCGAUACCCUGGUAGUCCACACGGUAAACGAUGAUACUCGCCGUCGGCGAUAGACCUUCGGCAGUUUAGCGAAAGCGAUAAGUUAUCCACCUGGGGAGUACGACCGCAAGGUUGAAACUCAAAGGAAUUGACGCGGGCCCGCACAGCCGGAGGAACAUGCAGUCUAAUUGCAUGAUACGCGAGGAUCCCUACCCGGGCUAGAACGGUGCAUGAAUGUUCAAGAGAUUGGACCGUCCCCCGGUACAGUUAUUGAGGUGGUGCAGAGUUAAACCACGUUCUCCCCCGGAGGUGUGGGCCUCAGUCACUUCACGAGAGCAUCCCCCGUGCGGCGGUACCAUCCGGGCGGAACAGGGACUGUAGUGAGACUGCCACCGUAAGGUGUGAGGAAGGCACAGAUGGUGUUCAAUCAGCACGGCCCUUAUGUCCAGGGCGACACUCGUGUUACAAUGGGAGGUACAGAGAGCAGCCAGUUAGUGAUAACGCGCCAAUCUCAAAAACCUCUCUCAGUUUCCUCCGGAGUUUGCAAAUCGACUCCAUGACACCGGGAAUGCCAGUAAUCUCGCCUCUGC